CCCUUAGAUGUUCUGGGCCGCACGCGCGCUGCAAUGGCAGACUCAGCGAGUUGCCUCUGUCGAAAGGCACAGGGAAUCUUUACAGUAUCUGCCGUGAUGGGGAUAGACCCUUGUAAUUUUUGGUCUUCAACGAGGAAUUCCUAGUAAACGCAAGUCAUUAACUUGCAUUGAUUACGUCCCUGCCCUUUGUACACACCGCCCGUCGCACCUACCGAUUGAAUGGUCCGGUGAAGUCCUCGGACCCAGUUGAACCUCGAGUUGAACAGGGAAAGUUGACUAAAUCUUACCAUUUAGAGGAAGGUGAAGUCGUAACA
rnacentral:rRNA from 1 species